UGGCUCAGAACGAACGCUGGCGGCGUGCUUAACACAUGCAAGUCGAGGGCGUGGGGUAACCCACGACCGGCGAACGGGUGCGUAACACGUGAGCGACCUGCCUCCCCGCGGGGGAUAGCCGGCCCAACGGCCGGGUAAUACCGCAUACGCUGUUCGGGGUGCAUACCCUGGAUCGGAAAGCAGCAAUGCGCCGGAGAGGUGCCUCGCGGCCUAUCAGCUAGUUGGUGAGGUAACGGCUCACCAAGGCGACGGCGAAUAGCUGGCCUGAGAGGAUGGCCAGCCACAUUGGGACUUUUUCUCGGCCCANAGACCUACGGGAGGCA
rnacentral:rRNA from 1 species